rnacentral:rRNA from 1 species
AAAUUGAAGAGUUUGAUCAUGGCUCAGAUUGAACGCUGGCGGCAGGCCUAACACAUGCAAGUCGAACGGUAGCACAGAGGAGCUUGCUCCUUGGGUGACGAGUGGCGGACGGGUGAGUAAUGUCUGGGAAACUGCCCGAUGGAGGGGGAUAACUACUGGAAACGGUAGCUAAUACCGCGUAACGUCGCAAGACCAAAGAGGGGGACCUUCGGGCCUCUUGCCAUCGGAUGUGCCCAGAUGGGAUUAGCUAGUAGGUGGGGUAACGGCUCACCUAGG